AUGAAACCUUAGGUUCCUCAUAAGGAUUUCAAUUGAGUUCAGGGUUUUGGCCUCGUGUUCUCUCUCCAUCUCUCUGCAACUUAGGUUUUCAUCUUCGUUAAUUUCAGCUCUCGGAAGCAUCGAUUAUUCGUCUUAUGCUUGACAGGUUUUUGUAUGGCUAUGCCGUACAUUGUCUUUCGUUCCCCUCGCACUCGCCAGGCCACAUCCCUGUAAGCCCGUCCAAUCAUCUCAAGACCGAUUCGAGUUGGAGGAGAGUUGGAUCUUUGAUAGAGGUGAUCCCAUUCUAUAAAAUGGACUGUGCUGCAUUUUCAGAUAGACUACUUGAGCUUGACAGAUGAAGGGAAGUAUUCAUCCAAUGGCACAUACUCGGCAGCUCAGUGACCCUGGUUUGGACAAUUGGGGCUAAGAAACUCAAAGGAUCAUUAACGGGAUUUUUUGGCCAUAGCAACAGAAGUCGUACUUCACCUACUCGGUCUUUCAAGCGAUUACUAUGAUGCAAGAGAAAGUUGUGACACAAGUUGUACAAUCGGUGGUUGUGACAAUAGUGAAGCUUGUACAUUGCAAUGUUGGCCUUAUAAGUGAUGGAUGUAGUAGUAGAAGUAAUAGUUUCCAUGAGAAGGCUCAUGCAUGAUUGCCACUUGUAAGAAUUCUGAGAGAAUUCAAGUCAGCUUUAAACUAAAAGAUCUUUCAUAACUAAUUGAGGAUGUGUUAUUGUUGCUUUUGCAAGGAUUUGUUGGUCCUUGUUAAAAAUAUUUCACAUGAUUAAUUACAACAAAUAAUUCAUCAAGCUUUCUUAUAGAAUAAUCGACGACAAGGUGGUCUGUUGUGGUGUUGUGAUGGAGAUCACCAUUGAUAAUAUUUUAAGUGAUAUGAAUAUACUAUUUUGUAUAUAUCAAUGUU